CGUUUGUCGCAAUAAAGUUUGACAAAUGACAAAUCCAUCCCUGUCGAAUGGAUAAAAAUGUUGUCGAUCUUUAGAAGGCUUCUCCUAUAUCUGCCGUUUCCAUCACACAUUGCUUUUGUCGAAAAAGCCUGUGUCAAUGGAAACCUGCCUAUUGUUCACUUGUAUAAAUGCAUCUGCAGAUAGUUCUGUAAAAACAACAGUAGCUUUAGUCUCUUUUUAUGUCCUCUUCUUGAACACUUGCCCCUACCCUUUGCUUCUAAGCCUGCAAAACUUGAAAAUGCAGUAAAAUUCCAUCUGAACUCAAAGUAGAUCAAAGGGAAAGGAAGAAAAGUUUACACUGCUGCGCUGUCAGGUCGUAAGCACUGGAGGGCCGCAGAGAUGGCACUGAAGCUCAUCAUGGCAGACUGCUGAAAAGUGGAUUAAAGUCUUGUCUUAUUGCUGCAACUCCCUUACGGACUCAGGAGAGGCGAAGGUGGAGAUUCAUGCAUCCUCCGAAACACGACCCUGCCAAGCUGCACUGAUUCUUGACACACUACUCGCUUAACCCGGAAGGCAGCCUCACCACUUUUUUGGAGGAAACACUGUAUAACUGCAGACCGUGUCAGCGUGCAUGCGCCCGGCCCGCCACAGGAGUCGCUGGAGCGUGAUGGAACAAGGACAUCCUGGUCUGCCAAACCCUCCCCUAACAACGCUGGGCCAAUUGUGCGCCGCCUCAUGGGUCUCCCGGUCGCAGCUGGCUGCGACACAGCCCGGGAUCGAACCCGGAUCUGUAGUGAUGCCUCAAGCACUGCGAUGCAGUGCCUUAGACUGCUGCGCCACUCAGGAGGCCCUGUUGCUGCUUUUGAUUGUGAUUAUGUUUAUGGUGGUGCCCUUUUGACCUUUGCUCAAGAAAAGGAGUUCAGUCAAAUGGCAAUGUAAACACAGACUUAAGUACUUCAUUAUUUGUGUAUCGGAUGAUGGCACCUCAGAACAACUGAGGAUCCCUGGAUGUUCCACAUAGUGUUCCGCUGGCCUAUCUUUCUGCAUUCCUCCAAACACAGCUUCUGUAAUGGUAUAGCCCCCAUUGCACUCUUCACAACUCAUCUCUCAUUCUAAACAACGUUUGGACAAUUAUCACGGACACAUGAGCAUUAGGGCAAUUGCUAUGAGAGUAUUUCAUAGGUCAUUACUUUCCCAUAAGACAACAUUGAUGCAGUCAUUUGCGCUUGGCGUAGUAAGAACCCUUUCUUUAUGCUUUGGUUAUACUGCCCCCUCCCAAACCCUAUCCCGGAUGGGGGGCUGUACUAAGACAAAGACCAGUGGGAUGACUGAUAAGAAAAAGUGGAAUUUAGUGGUCAACAGGGGUUAAUGGCUUAAGAUGUUUUCAAUGUCAAAUAUAUGUGCGUGCUUGAUGGUCAUGCGAAAACAUGAGGUGCGUAUGUGUGUGUGUGUGUGUGUGUGUGUGUGUGUG
rnacentral:lncRNA from 1 species